UACGUGGGGUGCAAGCGUUGUCCGGAAUUAUUGGGCGUAAAGAGCUCGUAGGCGGUCUGUCGCGUCGGCUGUGAAAACUUGGGGCUCAACCCCAAGCCUGCAGUCGAUACGGGCAGGCUAGAGUGCGGUAGGGGAGACUGGAAUUCCUGGUGUAGCGGUGAAAUGCGCAGAUAUCAGGAGGAACACCGGUGGCGAAGGCGGGUCUCUGGGCCGUAACUGACGCUGAGGAGCGAAAGCGUGGGGAGCGAACAGG
rnacentral:rRNA from 1 species